AUGUUGCUCGUCCUCGAUCGUUAUUGACAUCUCGUCCACUGCUCUCGUCGUCUUUUCGGCUAUGAGUCUCGUUACUUCCCGAUCCACCUCCACAUAGACGGCUCAAGAAACUUUCGUUAAUUGCUAUCUUAUAAGUAUUAAAUAUUCUAGGACAUAUUUUAUCUCUGUACAAGAGCUCCUAUUUUUCUUAUAGUAAGUAGCUUGGUUCUCUAAACAAGCAAAUACUAUAAGCUACUGAGAAACAAGUAAAAGUCUCUAGGAAAAACUUCCUCUGCAUAAUUUUCGGCCAUUUUCUGGGGAAAGUGAGACAAUUACCAGAGAUGAAGAGUCGUUUCGCAACUCCAUUUGAAGGCAUUGCAGAGGAUAUUCGAGGACGCGUUUCUUGCUACAAGCAGGAUUGGAUUGCUGGAAUUAGAUCUGGAAUAGGGAUAUUGGCUCCAACUACAUACAUAUUUUUCGCAUCUGCUCUUCCCGUGAUUGCUUUUGGAGAACAAUUGAACAAAGAUACGGAUGGGAGCCUGAGCACUGUGGAAACUUUAGCUUCUACAGCUAUUUGUGGAAUCAUUCAUUCAAUACUCGGCGGACAACCUCUUAUGAUACUAGGAGUUGCAGAACCUACUAUUAUUAUGUAUAGUUACCUCUACAAGUUUGCCAAAGGGAGAGAAGAAUUGGGACAGACCCUUUACUUGGCUUGGGCUGGAUGGGUUUGUGUUUGGACAGCUCUCAUGUUGUUUCUUCUAGCAAUAUUUAAUGCCUGCUCUAUCAUUAGUAAAUUUACAAGGAUUGCUGGGGAGACUUUUGGCAUGCUUAUCACCGUACUUUUCAUUCAAGAGGCAAUUAAGGGACUAGUGAGCGAGUUCCACAUUCCUAAAUCCGAUGACCCAAGUUCAGAGAAAAAUCAAUUCCAUUGGCUUUAUACAAAUGGCCUACUUGGAAUCAUAUUCACCUUUGGCCUUCUCUACACAGCCUUAAAAAGCAGGAAAGCAAGGUCAUGGUGGUAUGGCACAGGCUGGAUUAGAAGCUUCAUCGCGGACUAUGGAGUUCCUUUAAUGGUUCUUAUGUGGUCAGCUCUCUCAUUUAUCAUACCAAACAAAGUUCCAUCUGGAAUUCCCAGAACUCUCUAUAGUCCCCUUCCUUGGGAAUCUGCAUCUUUAUAUCACUGGACUGUAAUGAAGGAUAUGGGGAAGGUUCCUCCAGCAUACAUAUUUGCGGCCAUAAUACCAGCUGUGAUGAUAGCAGGACUCUAUUUUUUCGAUCACAGUGUUGCUUCUCAGAUGGCACAACAAAAGGAGUUCAACUUAAAGAAUCCUUCUGCUUAUCAUUAUGAUAUCUUACUCUUGGGAUUUAUGACUUUGCUAUGUGGUUUGAUUGGAUUGCCUCCUUCAAAUGGUGUCCUGCCACAAUCCCCUAUGCAUACUAAAAGUUUGGCUGUUCUUAAGAAACAGCUGAUUCGAAAGAAGAUGGUUGAAAGUGCGAAAGAGAGUAUCAGGAGAAAAGCUAGCAACUCUGAAAUCUAUGGCAACAUGCAAGCUGUAUUCAUAGAGAUAGAUAGUCCUCCUGUUAAUGCAGUAGCUAAAGAAUUGAAACACUUGAAAGAGGCAAUAAUGAAACGUGAAAUUGAAAAUGGAAAUGGGGAAAAGUCAAAUGGCAAAUUUGAUCCUGAGAAGCAUAUUGAUGCUUACUUGCCUGUUCGAGUCAAUGAACAAAGAGUGAGCAAUCUACUGCAGUCACUACUAGUAGCAGCAUCAGUAGGUGCUAUGCCAGUAAUAAAGAAGAUACCAACCUCAGUUCUUUGGGGAUAUUUUGCCUACAUGGCUAUUGACAGCUUGCCAGGAAAUCAACUAUGGGAAAGAAUCUUGCUUCUCUUCAUCACCCCUGGCAGGAGGUUUAAGGUUCUUGAAGGGGUACAUGCAUCUUUUGUGGAGUCAGUACAAUUCAGAUACAUUGCAAUUUUCACAGUAUUCCAACUUGUAUAUUUACUUGUGGUCUUUGGAGUCACUUGGAUACCCAUAGCUGGCAUUCUAUUCCCAUUGCCAUUUUUUCUCCUCAUAAGCAUAAGGCAACAUUUGCUUCCCAAAUUGCUCCAGCCUCAUCAUUUGCAAGAGCUCGAUGCAGCUGAGUAUGAAGAAAUUGUUGGUGCCCCUCAACGUGCACUUAGCUUCUCUUUCAAGGAAACGGAGGCAACUCUUCCUGGAACUGAAGAAGGCAAAAUAGAAAUUUGUGAUGCUGAGAUCUUGGAUGAACUUACAACCAGCAGAGGAGAGUUGAAAUUCAGGACUGUCAGCUUCAGCGAGGAUAAACGCCAACGGGUACCUUGACAAUGAAUUUCAUAAUUACACUCAACGGGGUAUAACCUCACAUGUGCACUCAAUUCUUUUUCAUGAGCCAAACAUAUGCUGAUAGCAUGUCAAAUCACGUGACCAUCUCAUCUUAAAUUGUUAGAGAUAGUUGAUGGAGAUGACUUUGAGUUAAGAACAUAUUUUGGAGCUAAAAUGGAUAAUUUGAAGUUUUGAAAUCUGAGUAAAAGCCCAGAAUUGAACAGUGAUUGCAUUCGGAGAUCUAGGACCGAAUAUGAAUAAAAAAUUAUAAAAGAAAAUAAUGUCAACUGGUGAAAUAAAGCUGCCACGUCAAAUAAUGUUCUCCACCUUAUGAAUUUUUGCUAAUGUACAUCAAAUGUAAAGAAUUUUAAUUUGGCCACUGGUGUGUUUGGGCACGUGACACGAGGUGACAAGUCAAGGAAUCAGCAAGCAAUUUUGGUUAACAUUCUGAACUUACCCACGUAGACGCAGGGUGCGAUGCACCGGUGGUUUUUCCGCCCAGUUUUCCCACUUCGACUCAGAAAGGGUAGUUCGGUCCAAGGUCAUUCCUACACUGUAUAAAUACAGUGUAAACAUAUUUUUGAUAAGGGGAUUCGACCUAGGAGAGUUUUAGAGAGCUGCCAUGGUUUGAAGACAAAGGAUUUCAUCAAUUCUCUUGCCAACAAUCAGUGCAAAAUGAGAGUUUGUAUUGUAAAGUUGUCUUUGAUGUUUUUUAUGCAAUUAAACUUAUUUA